AUGAGAACGCUAUGGGAAGAUAUAUCAAAGACGGAGAGAGCAGCCGAGAAAGUGAGGCGUGCAAUUAAUUCGGGAAAUAUCUCAUUCCGCUAACUGUUUCAGUAAACCAUCCACCAUUUCGGUCCUACCGAAAUGGUACUUUUUGGGUUUUUUACCUGCGACGUUGCCGAAACCAACACUGGUCAUACAAGUCAUGGUAAAGUAAAGCGCAGUCACAUACAUAGUUUUUCUAGAAGGGCCAGAGGUCAACUCUGAAGGACCGCCUUCCGGAGAGUUUAACACAAUGUUAUGAAGAGAAAGUGUCUUUCUUACACAUUUGCAAGCUUCCAGAGCCAGCUGUAUUGCAUCCCAUUGUCUGUGUCGGAACGACCGAUGGAAUACCAAAUACUGUAAGCAUAGACAAUAAAGAAAUAGUUUAG